AGAGUUUGAUCCUGGCUCAGGAUGAACGCUAGCUACAGGCUUAACACAUGCAAGUCGAGGGGCAGCAUGGUCUUAGCUUGCUAAGGCCGAUGGCGACCGGCGCACGGGUGAGUAACACGUAUCCAACCUGCCGUCUACUCUUGGACAGCCUUCUGAAAGGAAGAUUAAUACAAGAUGGCAUCAUGAGUCCGCAUGUUCACAUGAUUAAAGGUAUUCCGGUAGACGAUGGGGAUGCGUUCCAUUAGAUAGUAGGCGGGGUAACGGCCCACCUAGUCUUCGAUGGAUAGGGGUUCUGAGAGGAAGGUCCCCCACAUUGGAACUGAGACACGGUCCAAACUCCUACGGGAGGCAGCAGUGAGGAAUAUUGGUCAAUGGGCGCAGGCCUGAACCAGCCAAGUAGCGUGAAGGAUGACUGCCCUAUGGGUUGUAAACUUCUUUUAUAAAGGAAUAAAGUCGGGUAUGGAUACCCGUUUGCAUGUACUUUAUGAAUAAGGAUCGGCUAACUCCGUGCCAGCAGCCGCGGUAAUACGGAGGAUCCGAGCGUUAUCCGGAUUUAUUGGGUUUAAAGGGAGCGUAGAUGGAUGUUUAAGUCAGUUGUGAAAGUUUGCGGCUCAACCGUAAAAUUGCAGUUGAUACUGGAUAUCUUGAGUGCAGUUGAGGCAGGCGGAAUUCGUGGUGUAGCGGUGAAAUGCUUAGAUAUCACGAAGAACUCCGAUUGCGAAGGCAGCCUGCUAAGCUGCAACUGACAUUGAGGCUCGAAAGUGUGGGUAUCAAACAGGAUUAGAUACCCUGGUAGUCCACACGGUAAACGAUGAAUACUCGCUGUUUGCGAUAUACAGCAAGCGGCCAAGCGAAAGCGUUAAGUAUUCCACCUGGGGAGUACGCCGGCAACGGUGAAACUCAAAGGAAUUGACGGGGGCCCGCACAAGCGGAGGAACAUGUGGUUUAAUUCGAUGAUACGCGAGGAACCUUACCCGGGCUUAAAUUGCAGAUGAAUUACGGUGAAAGCCGUAAGCCGCAAGGCAUCUGUGAAGGUGCUGCAUGGUUGUCGUCAGCUCGUGCCGUGAGGUGUCGGCUUAAGUGCCAUAACGAGCGCAACCCUUGUUGUCAGUUACUAACAGGUUCCGCUGAGGACUCUGACAAGACUGCCAUCGUAAGAUGUGAGGAAGGUGGGGAUGACGUCAAAUCAGCACGGCCCUUACGUCCGGGGCUACACACGUGUUACAAUGGGGGGUACAGAGGGCCGCUACCACGCGAGUGGAUGCCAAUCCCCAAAACCUCUCUCAGUUCGGACUGGAGUCUGCAACCCGACUCCACGAAGCUGGAUUCGCUAGUAAUCGCGCAUCAGCCACGGCGCGGUGAAUACGUUCCCGGGCCUUGUACACACCGCCCGUCAAGCCAUGGGAGCCGGGGGUACCUGAAGUGCGUAACCGCGAGGAGCGCCCUAGGGUAAAACUGGUGACUGGGGCUAAGUCGUAACAAGGUAGCCGUACCGGAAGGUGCGGCUG
rnacentral:rRNA from 1 species